CAAGUCGAGCGCGGGAAGCGAGUGGAUCCCUUCGGGGUGAAGCUCGUGGAACGAGCGGCGGACGGGUGAGUAACACGUGGGCAACCUGCCUGUAAGACCGGAAUAACCCCGGGAAACCGGGGCUAAUGCCGGGUAAUACUUUUCUUCGCAUGAAGGAAAGUUGAAAGAUGGCUUCUUGCUAUCACUUACAGAUGGGCCCGCGGCGCAUUAGCUAGUUGGUGAGGUAACGGCUCACCAAGGCGACGAUGCGUAGCCGACCUGAGAGGGUGAUCGGCCACACUGGGACUGAGACACGGCCCAGACUCCUACGGGAGGCAGCAGUAGGGAAUCUUCCGCAAUGGACGAAAGUCUGACGGAGCAACGCCGCGUGAACGAUGAAGGUCUUCGGAUCGUAAAGUUCUGUUGUUAGGGAAGAACAAGUACCGUGCGAAUAGAGCGGUACCUUGACGGUACCUAACGAGGAAGCCCCGGCUAACUACGUGCCAGCAGCCGCGGUAAUACGUAGGGGGCAAGCGUUGUCCGGAAUUAUUGGGCGUAAAGCGCGCGCAGGCGGUUCCUUAAGUCUGAUGUGAAAGCCCACGGCUCAACCGUGGAGGGUCAUUGGAAACUGGGGAACUUGAGGACAGAAGAGGAGAGUGGAAUUCCACGUGUAGCGGUGAAAUGCGUAGAUAUGUGGAGGAACACCAGUGGCGAAGGCGACUCUCUGGUCUGUUUCUGACGCUGAGGUGCGAAAGCGUGGGUAGCAAACAGGAUUAGAUACCCUGGUAGUCC
rnacentral:rRNA from 1 species